UAAAAGUCUCAAGUAUCUGUUCACUCAGAAAAAAUUGAACCUGAGGCAACGCCGAUGGUUGGAGUUAUUGAAGGAUUAUGAUAUCAGUAUUCAGUAUCACCCCGGUAAGGCGAUGUGGUGGCAGAUGCGUUGAGCAGAAAGUCAGUGCAGAGUUUUAGUAUAUUGGUCACUCAGCAGAGGCCGUUACUUGAGGAGUUGCAACGGUUUGGACUCGAGGUAGUGUCCCCUAAGACUACUGCAAGACUGACGUUUAUAGUCUUGCAGCCUACUCUGUUGGAUAGGAUUAGGGAGUGUAAGGACUGAGAUUUUUACAGUGCAACUAAACUCUCUGUUGAUGAUGUUUAUGUGUGUAAUUUAAUUACAUAAGCACUCGUCAAGUUUCAGGAGAAAAUGAGCUAAAAUGGAGAAGUUACGCGAUUAUUAGUUUUCACUUAAGUGAAUAGUAACUCCGGUUUUCCGGAGAAGCCACGGAGUAGAGUUGGCUUUCGGCGCGUAUCGGACUCCGUUCAUAGCGAUCCAAUAGCUCGUUUCGAACGGUUCAGCUAUUCUGGAACCAAUGGCACUGACGGAUUUUGGAUCUGACGCACGGUUUUCGAGAAAAAGGAGUUUUAACAAAAAGAGGGUUUCCGCUCUUUGCUAUUCGUGCAUUUUAAAACUCCUCGUGCUUUGUACAAGUGAUCUGGAGAUGGGUGAGAGAUGUUUCAAGUACCUACUGGUGGCAGGGAAUUCAAAUACGAGUUUGAAUUAAAGGAUUUCGGGUUUCCACCAAGGCCUAUGUGUGAAAUAUGGAUUAGUUGGAGAGAGGUCGGAUUUUGUCGCAAAUCGGCAAGCAAAUCGGAUGAAACGAAAUCGUAGUUUCGAUGCCCCCGUCGUCCUGAACGCGAUGGCGCUGUCGGAUUGAAAAUCCGACAGACGGAUUUUCGGGAAACGCGAAAUGUUCGCUGAGGGGUCGAAGGUGGCAAAUCGGAAACUUCGCAAAAGUCAUUGUAUUUUAUGUACCGAAUCGCUUGAGAUCGAGCGUGGUGGUGCGUAUGCGCAAGUUACGCGCAAUGGCAGGGACUAAAUUAUAAAAAUAGGGCUGAGGUGGGUUUUUUCUGCAAUUGUACAUAUAUCAUAGUGUUAGGUCACCAUGAAACCCUAACCCUGGGUCCCCUCCUCUUCCUUAACCGCCUCCCUCACGUUCCCCUGCUCUCCCUGCGCGCGCCCCGGCCACCUGAGCACGUCGCCGGCCGCCGGAGCUGGCCGCUCUUCCACCUCCUCCAUCACCUUCCACACUUUUCUUUCCACCCUCCUCAACCACCGAGCUCGGGAAGGCACCUAAACCUAUGUAACCAUCUUCCCUAGGCCGAGAC
rnacentral:lncRNA from 1 species